UCCACGGUAAACCCCGGCCGGGGGUGGGGGUGGCAGGCAGAGAAUGAUGAUUGGUAGAGCCUACACCUGUCCAGGUGCACUGGAGCUGGGAGCAAAAGAGGCUCUGUGAGAGGAGGGCCAGUUCAGCCGCAGCGGGAGGACUGACAGAGGCCUGAUGGAGGAGUUGGUGGGGCUGCGUGAGGGCUCCUCAGGGGACCCUGUGACUCUGCAGGAGCUGUGGGGCCUGUGUCCCCGCAUCCGCCGAGGCAUCCGAGGUGGCCUGGAGUGGCUGAAGCAGAAGCUGUUCCGCCUGGGCGAGGACUGGUACUUCUUGAUGACCCUCGGGGUGCUCAUGGCCCUGAUCAGCUAUGCCAUGAACUUUGCCAUCGGGCGUGUGGUCCGAGCGCACCAGUGGCUGUACGGGGAGAUUGGGGACAGCCACCUGCUCCGGUAUCUCUCCUGGACAGUGUACCCUGUGGCCCUCGUCUCUUUCUCCUCGGGCUUCUCCCAGAGCAUCACACCCUCCUCUGGAGGUUCUGGAAUCCCGGAGCUGAAGACCAUGUUGGCGGGUGUGAUCUUGGAGGACUACCUGGAUAUCAAGAACUUUGGGGCCAAGGUGGUGGGCCUCUCCUGCACCCUGGCCACCGGCAGCACCCUGUUCCUGGGCAAAGUGGUAUGGGCAGGGCCCUUUCGUGCACCUGUCUGUGAUGAUCGCUGCCUACCUGGGCCGUGUGCGCACCACGA
rnacentral:sRNA from 1 species